UAAUACAGAGGGUGCGAGCGUUAAUCGGAGUUACUGGGCGUAAAGGGCGCGUAGGCGGUAGAUUAAGUUAGAUGUGAAAUUCCCGGGCUUAACCUGGGCAGGUCAUCUAAGACUGAAUUACUGGAGUACUGUAGAGGGUAGUGGAAUUUCCGGUGUAGCGGUGAAAUGCGUAGAGAUCGGAAGGAACACCAGUGGCGAAGGCGGCUACCUGGACAGAAACUGACGCUGAGGCGCGAGAGCGUGGGGAGCAAACAGGAUUAGAUACCCUGGUAGUCCACGCUGUAAACGAUGAAGACUAGAUGUUGUUCAGCGAGACUGAAUAGUAUCGAAGCAAACGCGAUAAGUCAUCCGCCUGGGGAGUACGGUCGCAAGAUUA
rnacentral:rRNA from 1 species